UUCUUUCUCCACUUUGGCUGCCAUAUUUCUUGUUUGCAUUGAAGUGGGAGGCAGGCUUAUAAUCAGUAUUCUGAAAUGUCAAAAACCCUUCAUUAAAAACACAAUUAAAUUUUACUUUGAUGCAUUGAGAACCAAAUAUACAUUCUUGUUGAUCAUUAAAAACCAAGGAAAGCAACAGUCAAGGACGAAAUUCCCAGAACGACAGUUGCACUUAAUGCCUUUUGAAAUGAAUAAAGACAGUUGUGGUUAAAUUAAGUGUCUCUAAUUUCUAGAGGACUUAAGUGCAACUGACUUUCUAUAUAUCAAGGUCAUUGUGUCUUGCUGCUGUAUGCAGAUUUUGUGGCAAAGACAGAAAUAAAAGGCUUGUUUCUAAAAUAUUUAUAUUGGGUGGAAUGGAAACAAUUCAUAAACCAAGCAAGUCUGUUAAUUUUUUAUAAACAUGUUCACUGAAUUUUCCUCAGAUAGAGCAGCAGUAAUGUUGGCUUGUACUUCCUUAUUCGAGAUGUGUUCUAACGAUGGAUAAAAUUUGGGCUAGGCAAAUGGAAUGGAGUUCAUAUUUUUCUAAAAGAAACAUAUAGCAGCAAGUUGUGUGGGCAUUACCAGGCUUGUAUUUAAAUGUAUCCCUCCAACUAAGUUGUCUUCAGGCAGUGAAGGCUAGGGAGGCGGAGGGGGCUGCUGUAAGAUGAGUUGCCUUGAUGCAAGAAAAAACACACCCUACAGUUGUGUGGGUUGUAGCUUUUGCUUGUAUGAUUUUUAACUUAAAAAUUAGGCAAUGUUCCCUCUUGUAUUCCAAAAAUUUCCUUUUCAUGUUUGUAUUUUUCUCCAAAUUUAGGACAUUGGUAGAUUUUUAUCUGUCUCUUGCGUUCUUCCUGUCGAAUUAGGUCUUUCAUCGGUUACAAUAUUCGGUUGCAGUUGAAUACUGGAAAGUGAAGGGACCUUCUGAAAGGUGUAUCAGAUUAUUUUUAUGGCUUGCAAACAGAUCAGAUAUGCGGCAUUUCUGACGGUGUCGCCUAGUAAGUCAUAACUGGGAGGUUUAAAGAGAGAAAAAUCUUCAGUCUCCUAGCCAUUAAAACAGAUGAUACUGGAGGAAGAUAAUUCUCUUUGGGUUAGCUGUGUGCACCCCCCCAUAGGGUAAUGUCUGACAAAGUUCUUUGUGUGAAUCACUGCAUGCAAGCAGGAUCAGGAACUGCUCCUCCACCUUGCAAAGAGAAAGGUAAACGUGGAACUCAUCCCUGGGACACCUUUUUUAGAGAAAAAAGAAAGGGACAUUAUUCCUGAAUGGGAGUGCUCAUUUUCAGACUGAUACACAUUUGAACCUGUCUUUAUCCUGUAAUGAACUUCAGGUUACAGGUCACUUAACACAAUAGCCCCAGUCCACUUCCACAUACAGGGGAAGUCUGAAGAUGUGUUUGUGGCUUGAAGACAGACUAGAACUAUCCUCCCAUGCUAGUUCUGUGUUGGAUGCUGGAAGUCUGGGUUGGAGAAUGGUUCAGGCUGAACCAAUAAUUAAAAAAAGCAUCAUCUGAAAUGGACACUCAUCUACGAAAGCUUAUGCCAUAAUAUAUCUCUUAGUAUUUAAGGUGCUACAAGACACUUAGUUGUGUUUACUGCCAGCAGACUGACACUGAUUGCUCUUUUCAAAACACUGUCAGUUUGGGUUGAAUUUUUUAUAAAACUACGUGGAUAGAACCCCAGCCAGAGUUAGGAGAAAAGACGUCGACCUCAAUGUCAGAGGAGCCUUGAUGUUUCUGCAGUGGAAGCAAUUCUGAGUUUUUAAGAUGUACAAAAUAUCUUUUAGUAUAUUAAAAACCAACUUCUACAUGCUCUGAACAAUGGGUUUUUUUGGGGGGGGGUGGGGAAGCAUAUGGUCAGGAUCUCCUCCAGUCAACCAGUCAGGAAAGUUUUAAAUUGCAAGAGCAAUUUAUUUUAUUUUCUUUUUUUUCAGCACAUUGACAUCCUAUCUAAUAUAGGGGCACAUCAGUAGUCAGCUGGUAAAAUCUUAUGUGGAUUUAUUAGCAAAUGAGCUUUCAACGUUUAAUACUGUAGCUUACGUUUUAUGAACCAUUUCCUUGUCACAGCAAUGCUGUAGUGUGUAAGUCCAUAAACUAUACAUAUUUGCUAAACUUCUUAAAAUGUCUCUAAACAGGGUAGUCAUCGUUUUUUAUGUCUUUUAAAAAAAUACAUUUCGACAGCAAUUAAAUAUUUGCUGCUUCUAAGCCUCCUGUUUUAUUUUGGAUAUAUGCGAUGAUAUGUGGCUGCUUAACCUGCUGCACUGUUUAUCAAACAAGGGCUCUUUGGUCUACGCCAUCUCUCUCUUUAUCUCAUGUUCAGUCAACAUAAGCAAAACCUCUCAUUUUAAAGGUCUUGGCACAUUUUCUCCAAAGCAAAAAGUUGCUUGCAAAGAUGCUUAUCUCCGUGUGUGCGUACGAUUUUACCACUUUCCCAUCCAACAUUAUAAAGCCCCCAAUUCUUCUCAGCCACCAAGAGAGUGAAACUUGAUACAGUAUUCAUAAGUUCUAAAAAUGGGUGUUGGGUAGGUUGUUGAGCUCCUGUAGCACUUAGUAUGCUAACAUCCAUUGCCGCUGCUACUUAAUUCUUCCUGUUAACAGUAUUAACAUGCAAGUCUCUUGCAACUUCUUCCAUUUACUAAGCUACCAUUUAAUCUUAAAUGUAUUUUAUAAAUGCACCUUUGUUUACUGCUAUUAUUUUAAAAGUGCACUAAAGGAGCCAUGUUGUUCAAUACUAUAUACAUACAUAUAGAUAUUAUAUAUAUAUAUAUAUAUAUAUAUAUAUAUACUUUUUUUUUAAAAAAAUACCAGCAAAGUCCAGAAAGACGUUUCCUUGGAGAAAGCAGAUAGGAAGUGGUGCCUGACCUCUUCCAGGUUUUUUAUUUGAAACUCCGAGGCUUGACAUAUAUGCAAUAUUUUAUUUAUUGAUGUUGCAUCCUGUCUUAAUGUGUAUAUAUCCUUUCUUGCUUUCCCCCCCUCGCCCACUGCGGACUUGUACAUUUCCUUUUAAAGGCUUCUUUUCCCAUCUGUGCAGAUGUGUACAAGCAGCUCCAGAAAGGAACAUCAGUGGAGAUCACAAAUAUCAAAGAAGCAUACCCUUCCUUGGUUUCAGUAUUAUAUGUGACAUGGCCUUUCUGGAUUACAUUUAGGGUUGUCUGUAUUUAUCUUAUGUUCUCUCUUCCUCAUCCCCUUUCAGAUUGCACUAAUGUCUUUCUUUACGUUAUGAAUUAUUGCUAUCAUCCAUGCGAUACAUGUACAUUAUGUUGACAGUGUAACUUGGAAUGCUUUGUGCUGCCUUUUAACUAUUUUUAAAGCUGCUUUUUUUAAAAAAAGAAAAAGG